rnacentral:pre_miRNA from 1 species
GACUUCAACUGAAAAAGUCAUCAAUAACAAAGUUGUAUAACUCAUCAAGAUCUAUAACUUUUAUUUUGAUCAUUUCUUCAUCCGAUAAAGUGAUACUAACAUUGUUCACAAAAUUGACGUAUCUCUUAUCUGGUUUUAGAAACUAUAACACAUAUAUGUAAAAUUUGCGAACAAUGUUACUAACACUUUGUCGGAUGAAGAUAUGACAAAAAUAAAAGUUUUAGAUCUUGAUGAGUUAUAUAAUUUUGUUGUUGAUGACUUUUUCAAUUGAAAAUC